UUUGGUAGCAAUGAUGACUGAUCUUUUUUCCCCAGCAGAUCGACACUGUUGACCUUUUCUUAAAAAAUAGCCAAAUGAUCUGAGCAACCAUA
rnacentral:snoRNA from 1 species